rnacentral:rRNA from 1 species
GACGAACGCUGGCGGCGUGCUUAACACAUGCAAGUCGAACGAGAAGAGGGAAAGCUUGCUUUCGAAAGUCGAGUGGCAAACGGGUGAGUAACGCGUAGACAACCUGCCUUUGAGAUGGGGACAACAGUUCGAAAGGACUGCUAAUACCGAAUGUUGUAUAUUUUCCACGUGGAAGAUAUAUUAAAGAUGGCCUCUAUUUAUAAGCUAUCGCUCAAAGAUGGGUCUGCGUCUGAUUAGCUGGUUGGUGGGGUAACGGCCUACCAAGGCGACGAUCAGUAGGCGGUCUGAGAGGAUGAACGGCCACAUUGGGACUGAGACACGGCCCAGACUCCUACGGGAGGCAGCAGUGGGGAAUCUUCCACAAUGGACGAAAGUCUGAUGGAGCAACGCCGCGUGAGUGAAGAAGGGUUUCGGCUCGUAAAGCUCUGUUGUCGGGGACGAAUGUGCAGUAUUUGAAUAAAGUACUGCAAUGACGGUACCUGACGAGGAAGCCACGGCUAACUACGUGCCAGCAGCCGCGGUAA